CCUAUGGCAACUGCUGCAUCUCUAUUUGUGCUCCAUGUAGCCCAGUCCACAUCUGAGGUGCCACUACAAAUGCUAUGGCUGACCCACAGUAAACAUCAGGGUAAAGUCUCUUUGCAUUUGAAAUUCUAUCACAUGAAAUUCUAUCAUGGGAAUUACUCUGGGGACAUGGCUGCUGCCGCCGCCACCCCCAAAACCGCACCAAAUUUUUAAAUUGAGAAGCUAGGUAUAGAGAUUAUAAUCAAUUAUCCUGAUAACUGUAAAUAAUGGUGAUGGUAAUUAUGAUUCUUCAGAUUCUCUGGAUGACUGCCUAGGCAAUUUGAAUAAUUGAGCUUCUACUGAACUUAAAUCCAAUCUGUGACUCUGAAAACGAAGAAGCAAAAAGUCACACAUGCUAUGUUUUAGUUCUAUUAAAAAAAAAAUGUGGUUUUGCCUAUGGUAAGAGAUUCCAGUUCUGUGUUUUCAGAGCAAACCUAAAAGUUAUCGUUCAGCAUAAAUUUUAAUAAGCACAUUCUCAGGAGCAAAGCUAUACCCUAAUUAAUGGGCAAAAUAAUUAUGCCCUGUAUGCAAUCUGGCUGUCAGCCCCUAGUCUUUGUUAACUGUAUGAUUGCUUUUUUCUUUUUUUUUAAUAACCCUCCUGUAUUGAGAAAUCAUGCUAUUACUCUUUGGGGAUAAUCAGUAUUUGCUGUUAACUCACAGCGGAUAAGCAGUGCUGAGCUUUUGUACACUGGAGUAAGCCUAUGAAACGUACUGCAUUGCAGCAAGCUGGCUAAGAACCCAGUGAAGCAAAGCAUAUUCUUGACUGCUAGGAGCAGAGCGUCAGAGAUGCUGUAAUCAGGAAGAGCAGGCAUUUUAGCAGGAGGAUUGGGAAGAAUUAAGCACAUUUCACGUGCUUAAGCAGUGUGCUCAGAAAUGCAUGUUCUGUGUCAGGGAUGGGCAGUUUUGGUAGCCUUGGCUCCUGGAAGGGCUGCACGUACCUACAAAAUCUAUACAUUUACGGCUACUGCUUCAGCAGUCUUCCAUUUCAGACUAAUGGUUAGAUAAGAUAUGGAGGCUCUGCCAGAUUCUAAGCCUGACCCUCACCUAGGCAAGGGCUUGGAUGAGCUUCUCUUUCCUCCCAAGUAGACUCGCAUGUGCCCACAUCUCCCUAUGGCCAUGGGGGAUGACAUAAGCAGGGGGCAAGGGGCAAAGUGUUUGCCAGAGUUGACCAGCAACCCAGGUCAGCAACAAAACAAUCAAUCAACCGAUUCCAGUUGUCAGGGAUUGUUGUCAGGGUUGAAUCCUGACAUCUCUAAGCCAGGGGCCACCCCCACAUGUUGCGGCAUCUAACUCUGUGAAUUGAUAACAUUUCCAGAGGCUGCCACUUAAAGGCAACAUUUCGCAAGCCCUUGUCCACAUAUAGCAGAUUCUGUAUGUAACUUUGGAUCCCAACUGAAGAAUACUUUCAGAGGGCCUACGUGCAAGAGAUUCAGCUCCUAUGGUGUGUGGGGUGAAUAAUGUUGAAACGUUUUUGUUUUGUUGAUUGUGUUGAGAUUGUUAACUGCAUAAAUCAGUAAUUGUAAGUUUUAUAUCUUCCAUCGUUUCUUCAUAACCCUUAUUAGAUUGACUUUAGUUGCAAAUCACGCGGGAACCUGUAAGGAGAUGUGCAUCCCAAACCUUUGCAUGUGUUUACUCAGAAGUAAGGCUCGCUGAGUUGUAUGUGGCAUAUGCUUAAGUAAAUGUGUGCUGGAUUGCAGCCUGAAGAAUUUAGCAUAGGAUUAGACUGUACAAACUUUUAACAAUCAGCCACGGAGCCAACAUUACCCAGGUCUGACUCAUGAAGCUAAUACAGGCAUCUCUUUCUUUCUUUCUUUCUUUCUUUCUUUCUUUCUUUCUUUCUUUCUUUCUUUCUUUCACCAGUGGAAUUUCUAUACUCCCAAUGGCAAGUUAACAUAACCCUAAUUGUAUAACCAGAGGGAGACAGACAGCGUCAAUUCCUCUAGGUGAAUAUGUGUGUGGAUCCACUGCAUAUAAACAACAGCUGGGGUGGACCAGUUUGCAUAUGCAGGGAGCCAUUUCUGUUCUCAUAUUCAGUUACAGAGGAUAAAGGGGGGAAAGUGUUCUUGUGAACCUGAUCAUGGAAGCCACCUUCCUCUCCUGUCAAACUCAGCCUGCAAGGCAUAAGGGAGAUAAAGAUCAGAUGCGUCCAACUCUUUAAAUUCAAUUCUCUUUAAAUUCAUUGAAUUCUUAAAUUCAAUGUCCAUUAAUUUCAGAGUAAAACUUAACUGAAUACCACCCUGGCUCCUGGCUCCUCCAAUGUCCUGAUGCAACGUCACACACAAUCUCCCUCACAAGUUGGCGCCUCUGGUCCUAACUUACUCAUGCUUAUUAAUUCCAGUCAGCUCUUCCCCAAAUAAAACAGCCUUUCUCAACCUGUAGGUCCCCAGAUGUUGUUGAACUACAACUCCCACCACCCCUAGCUAGCAAAGCCAGAGCUCAGGGGUGAUGGGAGUUGUAGUCCAACAAUAUCUAGGGACCCACAGGUUGAGAACCACUGGACUAAAACUUAAUUGAAUAGCACCCUAUGUGUAAAACAUAGAAUCGUAGAAUUGUAGAACUGGAAGGGCUCCCAAUGGUCAUUUAUUCCAACCCCCUGCAACAUGCUGGUGUAAAUUAAGCCAGCAUAAAGUUGCAUCAGAUCCAAGCCCUGUUCAGCGGUGGGGCAGCAGCUGCUACUCUAACAGAGCCAGGCAGAGGGGAAACAAGCCUUUAAAACAGGAUUCUAUGCUGGGUUCCCAGCUCACAUGACUGUACUGAAUGGGCUUAGGAUCCAGUUUAAUCCCCGCUCUGUGGUCCUGCUUCUGCCGUACCUCCAGAACACUCCCUUUUGAGAAUUGCACCAGCUUCAAUUCAGCCAGUUUCAGUUCAGCUGGGGAGCAAAUUAUGCCAGUGUACCUUCAGCAGGGGACGUGGGUGGCGCUGUGGGUUAAACCACAGAGCCUAGGACUUGUCGAUCAGAAGGUCAGCGGUUCGAAUCCCCGCAACGGGGUGAGCUCCCGCUGCUCGGUCCCUGCUCCUGCCAACCUAGCAGUUCGAAAGCAUGUCAAAGUGCAAGUAGAUAAAUAGGUACCACUCCGGCAGGAAGGUAAACGGCAUUUCCGUGUGCUUCUCUGGUUCGCCAGAAGUGGCUUAGUCAUGCUGGCCACAUGACCCAGAAGCUGGACGCCGGCUCCCUCGGCCAAUAAAGCGAGAUGAGCGCCGCAACCCCAGAGUCGGUCACGACUGGACCUAAUGGUCAGGGGUCCCUUUACCUUUUUACCUUCAGCAGAGCUUGGUCAACUUAAUGCCAACUGAGCCUGUCUGAGCCUGAAAUCAGGCAGCUCAGCCAGGGAUCCCAGUGCAUCCAAAGCUGCUCAUCCCAAAGGAUCUUGCCAUAGGAUUGCCUCCUAAACAAAUAUCUAUGAAUGGGUUGUGUGUGUGGGGGGGGUGUUUUUAAGAAAACACCUAUAGGCAAAAGCAUGCAACUCAACAGUUAAAGUGCCUGAAAGCUCAAUCUCAAAAUGCACCAGAAACCUGCAUAUCUUAAUUCUUAUAAUUAAGGAGGAAACCAUCCCUAAUUUUCUCCAGAGUUUUCUUAAUAAGACAAACGGACUUGUGGUAAAGUAAGGUUAAUAUCAGGCUUCCGUUAAUUUGCAGGUGGGGAACCUUUGGCCCUCCAGAUGUUGUAUUGCACCAAGUCCCAUCAACCCCAGUCAAAAUGGCCAGUGGUCAGGAGGGAUGGGAGUUCUAGUUCAACAACAUCUGGAAGGCGCCAGGCUCCCCAUCUCGGAGUUAAGGCGUAUGCGUAAAACGCCAGUAAAUUGUAGACAAGCCUGAACUCUAGAUCCUCUUUCAUGCUGGCAAGAUCACGGAGGUUAAUUAAUGGGAAGGGAACUGGAGGGACAACGCGGAAAGGGUCUUAAUUUCCCUGUUGCUUCCUGCCGCAUCGAGAAAGAAUUAGGGGGUGUGCUUGUGGGGUUGCUAGGCAACAAAUUAUAUACAGUUCCACACUCAUUCCUUCCGUUCCCUAUACCAGCCUUAGCCCUGCAUAAAUCUCGCCCUAUAGUAAAUUUAAAGAAGAGGCAGCUUCAGGAGACACUUUUCGGCAGAUGGGGAGGGUGGCCAGAGAACAAACUGCCCCCGCAAAGCUUGAUUCUCAGUUGUUCCUCAGGCCAGUCUAGCUGCAAACUAUGACACUGAAGCAAGUUGUGGGUCAAGGUAGUUUCUGCUCCUUUCCCUUGCUAUUGAUUUCGUGUAUUUUUAUUUAUUUACUUAUUUAUUGAACUUAUAUGCCACCCUACGUCUGAGGAACACAGAGUGGCUUACGUUACUUAUGUGAGUUACAGCUAAGGAGAAACCUGAGCUUGAUAUAACAACAACAACAACAACAACAACAACAAAAUUUAUUUAUACCCUGCCCUCCCCGGCCAGAGCUGGGCUCAGGGCGGCCAACACCCGUAAAAAUUACAGUAAAAACAUAAUAGGGGAAUAAAAAAAACCAAUUUAAAAUACAGGUUAAAAUACAAUUUAAAAUGCAGCCUCAUUUUAAAAGCAGCCCAUAGAUCACAUAAAGGGAGGGAAACAUAAGGGUCAGACUGAGUCCAAACAAAAGGCCAGGCGGAACAGCUCUGUCUUGCAGGCCCUGCAGAAAGAAAUCAGAUCCCGCAAAUGGACUUUACUCUGUUUAAAGUCAGGUUCAUUAUAUGCCUUUAGGCACUGGGCAAAAACGUUCCUCUUCAACCCGGCGUUUGGCUGAUUAAUAUUCUAUAGCCUUUAGGUAAAGGUAAAAGGUAAAGAACCCCUGGACAGUUACGUCCAGUCAAAGGCAACUAUGGGGUGCCGCACGCAUCUCGCUUUCAGGCCGAGGGAGUCGGUGUUUGUCCACAAACAGCUUUCCAGGUCAUGUGGCCAGAAUGAGUAACCCACUUCUGGCACAACAGGACACAGUGACGGAAGCACACAGAAACGCCACUUACCUUCCUGCCACAGCAGUACCUAUUUAUCUACUUCCACUAGCAUGCUUUCAAACUGCUAGGUUGGCAGGAGCUGCCACAGAGCAACAGGAGCUCACCCUGUCACACGGAUUCGAACCACUGACUUUCUGAUCUGCAAGCCCAAGAGGCUCUGUGGUUUAGACCACAGCGCCACCUUCAUUUUUUAACUACAGCAUUUACAUGUGUUUGUGGGAUGGGAUUAUUGGUUUUUUUCCUGUUUAUUUUGUGCUUCUAUCCUGUAUUUUUAUCUUGUGAACCGCCCUGAGAUUUUUGGAUGAAGGGUUGUAUAUUAAAACAAACAAACAAACAAACAGAUGUUAUUUGUGACAGUUACCCUUGCAGCUAUAUAGUAAUUGCAUUCCUAACAUAGGUUCUAUUAUUACUAUUAUUAUUAUUAUUCCCAACCUUCAUUGUGAGGUCCCAGUUCUCACAUCACCGGGGGGGGGUGUGUUUCAUAGAUUACCUUAUACCUGGGUACAAGUUGUCUGUACCUGGGUUCAGCCACUCCCAAGAGUCUAUACAUUUGUAGCAUCUUAGAACUGUAAAUGACACCUACAAUGAAGGAAUUACAGCUAAAGAAUCCAUGACAGAUGACCAUCCAACCUCUGUUUAAAUACCUACAAUGUAGGAGAGUCCAGUACCCUCUGAGGGAGUCCACAGUGGCAGACUUUGGUCACUAAAAUUUCAGUGGUGCCCUGCACAAAGCCAACAUUUGACACACCCCUGCUUCUCAUCUUCCAUGCUGCUCAGUUCACGAUGUUCUAGAGCCCUGCAGCACCCUCUAGUGUUAGCUCCCAGAGUGAUGGAACCCAAAUCCGCCUCUGGAGCCCAGUCACAUCUGAAUACCACUGGGUGGGCAUUGCAAUUGGGGAAAUUGCUGUUGCAUUGUUGUCCUGCUAGAGGGCUUCUCAUAGGCGUCUGGGCGGCCACUGUGAGAACAGGAUGCUGGAAUAGAUGGGUUGUUGGCCUGAGCCAGCAACCCUCUUCUUUAAAAGCAUAAGUUCUACCAGCCUAAAAAAGUUACAUAGAAACAUAAGGUAAAGGUAAAGGGACCCCUGACCAUUCGGUCCAGUCAUGGCCAACUCUGGGGUUGCGGCGCUCAUCUCGCUUUAUUUGCCGAGGGAGCCGGCGUACAGCUUCCGGGUCAUGUGGCCAGCAUGACUAAGCCGCUUCUGGCGAACCAGAGCAGCGCACGAAAACGCUGUUUACCUUCCCGCCGGAGUGGUACCUAUUUAUCUACUUGCACUUGACGUGCUUUCAAACUGCUAGGUUGGCAGGAGCAGGGACCUAGCAACGGGAGCUCACCCCAUCGCGGUGAUUCGAACCACCGACCUUCUGAUCGGCAAGUCCUAGGCUCUGUGGUUUAACCCACAGCGCCACCCACGUCCCACAUAGAAACAUAAGACGCUGCCUUAUAGUGAGCAGACAAUCAGUCCAACUAGCUCAACUGGCAGCAAUUCUCUCCUGUUUCAGACUGAGGACAUUCCCAGCCCUACCUAGACAAGCCAAGACUUGAACCCGGGAUCUUCUGCCUGCAAAGCAGAUACUUUGCUCCUAAGCUACCUUUCCCCAAUCACACCUAUGACUGGUCCUUCUACAAACAUGAAAGCUGCCAUGUGAAGCUGCAGUCGUCAGGGGACGCCAUGCAUGUAUGAACCACCAUUCUACAGGAUUCACCUUGUUGACUUGAAUGGGAUGCGAUGCUGGAGGGUAAAAAAGAAAGAAAGAAGCAUGUAGCAAGCUGCCAAAGAACCCCAUCCCAACAGCAACAAAAUGGCUUAAAUCUUGAUACUCACGGUUCAGCCACGUCCCACUUAAAUACCCGCCAUAGCGAAUGUGAGGCACGUGCUGAUUACAAGAUUUGUGCUGUUGGAGAGCCAGCAGCAGGCCUGUGGUUCAGGCGUUAAACUCAGCGGCCGCCAUCAGUCUCUGAGACAUUUAACUCGUUGCCAAUUUGUAAGCUGCUCAGCGUCUAUUGGAGAGGGUGGAGUUUGGAGAACAGAAGGUUCAGCCAGGCAGAGACGAUGAAAUGAGCUAUCGUUUAAAAAGAGAAUUGCAUGACUAACGGUUUAGGAGAAGAGGAGAAAACAAACCACUUCAUCUCCCCAGCCCUCCUUCAAACUGACAAAGAAAUAGUCACGAUACAAAAUGUAUCUCAGGGAAGUAAAUGGUAGACAUGGGUACCGUUAUUUAACUUCACUUCCACACACCACAGGGUCACCAUUGGAGUCCUUGAUCAACGCUCGUUCCUUAUUUCAGUUGGCUGCUCCCACCAAAUAUACAGCCACGAUCUGGAUUGCUUCUUUACAAUGAGAUUCUGUGAUGAAAGCAGUUAAGGGUAUUGAAAGGCUCAGCUCUUGGGCUUUUAGCUCAACAACCCCAUUCAUGAAACAGAGCACAGAAGUAUGGAGGAACGCAUGGAAUGAGGAUAGAAGCAGGAUAGAAUCGCUAGACCAAUCUACCUGUUUGUCCAUUUGAUGCUUUAUACCUGAAGGAGCGUCUCCACCCCCAUCGUUCUACCCGGACUCUGAGGUCCAGCGCCGAGGGCCUUCUGGCAGUUCCCUCACUGCAAAAAGUGAAUUUACAGGGAAACAACCAGAGACCCUUCUCGGUAGUGGUGCCCGCUCCAUGCAACGCCCUCCUGUCAGAUGUCAAGGAAAUAAACCGCUAUCUUGACUUUUCAAAGACAUCUGAAGGCAGCCCUGUUUAGGGAAGUUUUUAAUGUUUGUUUUGCUGUGUUUGAUGUUUCAGUUUGUAGAAAGCCUCCCAAAGGUGGCUGGGCUACCCAGGCAGAUGGGUGGCAUAUAAAUAACAAAUUGAUGAUGAUGAUGAUGAUGAUGAUGAUGAUGUUUGCAACAUUCAGUGAAGCUGAAUGUUGGAAGAUUCAGGAAAAACAAAAGAAUCAGACAAAGCAUUGUUAAACUCUGGCAUUUACUCCCACAAGCUGUAGCAGUGAUGGCCACCAACUUGGAUGGCUUUGAAAGAGGAUUAGACAAAUUUGUGGAGGGUAAGGCUCUCAGUGGCUUCUAGCCACUAUCAGAGACAGAACGCCUUGCAAUACCAGUUGUCAGGAAUUGCAGGUGGGAAGAGUGAUGUUUCUUUCAGGCCUCUCAGGGGAAUCUGGUUGACCACCAUGAGCACCAGAUGCUGGACCAGAUGGGCCUUUGGCCUGAUGCAGUAGGCUCACAUUGGUACAACCCAGGAAAAGCUUUCCUGUUCCUGUCAAGCAGACCUGCAAGAAGAGCAAAGGGAGGUGGGGAAAGAUAGCUUUUAGCAUCUUGGACUUUGGACCUUGCAUUAAGUCCACCUGGGGGCUGGAGUUGGUCACUUUGGUUUGUUUGUUUGUUUGUUUGUUUAAAAAGAAAUGCCAGACAGGGAAAAGAGGCAUAACUAAGGAUAGGGAGAGAUCUUGCUGAUUCAGGGGUGAAGCCAGAGCAGAAUCUGGAGUGACAGAUUGGAUUGAGUUAAUUGCAAAUAACCUUUUGCCAUUCUAGCUCUAAACAUCAGUGCCUGUUCAGACCUGGCACUGACUUCCAGACACUACUGAUUUUUAACUGAAGGGCCAAUAGAAGACAGGCAGCAAGCAAGCGAUUUAUUAUGGUCACAGACCAGUAAAAUUCAAUACAAUGAUAAAAGGCACAUUGAGGGGGCAAAUACAAAUAAUUAUGCAUUUUUCUUCUCUCAUGAAGCAAGCACAAUGAUUUUGUCCUGAUCAGCAUCGAGGUCAGAAAAAAACUGGUAGCCCUCUUAGUGUCACAAAAGGACACAUUCUUUAAACAAAUGAGCACCAAGUUUGCAGGAGAUAUAACUGUCUUUAGAGGGAGAAUUAAUCUUUCUCUACAUUCACUAUACGGGUUACAAUGUAGGAGGACCUGUUCAACAAAUUCUACUGCUCUAUCUCGACACAAACGUGUCCAUUCAUUAGUCCAGGACUUAUUAAUUCAUCUAUUUAGCAGUGCUGAUGGCAGCACAUUGAAGCAAGCCAGAGUUAGUGCUGUCGUAGAAUUUCAGAUGGUUAAUGUAUACAGAUACAAAGCUGUGGUGAUUCCCCAAUUUAUAGGAGAACAAGUUUUAUUGGCUGAAGUUCUCAGAUCCUGUAGAUCUAGGUCUACUAGUCUUGGAGCAACCAAAAGUUGAGCCUUCUGUGACCCAUAAUUUCCCAAAACACCAUAAGAAAAGCCCAGCCUGUGUUCCUUGGGAAGUUUCUGGGCCUAAACCCUGGGUAGGAAACACAGCUACCUGGAAAUGGGUACUCAAAUCAAUCAAAAGUAAAGCUCAAAUUGAUGCAUUUACAAUUCUUAGCAACACUUGAUAGCUCUCUUCUCUUUUCCUUUUUUCCCCUUUUUACAUUUUUUAUUUUAUUUGCUCAACACAUAACAACAACAAAAAGACAUAUUACACCAUAAUAAGAAUAUCAUCAGUCACACAUUACAUAAAGAAUUAAUACAAAUUCCAUAAUCCAUAAACUGUAAUGGUCUCUUCCUUUUAAAUCCGACUUCCCAUCUACUCCAUAAAUCUAAUUACCAUUCUUUUCUGCCAAUACAUGUUAUUGCUAUCAUCUCAAAUCAGUUCAAAAUGUAUUAUAUCAUUGAUAGCUAUCUCUUCUUAGUGCUCCCACAUUCUUUUGUUCAUCAUUGGACAAGUGGGAUCUGCAGCAAAUUGUCGCAGUGUGAAGUUCUCCCAUUCUAUGUCCCAUCUAUCCAUUCUGCCUCUCCCUGGUUUUUCACCCCUCCCCAUAAUCCAGCAUUCUGUGGCCACUGAGCUAUUUACUGUCUCUGAUUCCCAUCCCCAAUUUGGGUUGUUCCCCCACCCUUUAUUUUAUUUUUCUACCUCUGCAAAUCUUGGGGUUUCCCCAAGUCUGCUCACUCCCCUUAUGCGUAGAUGGAACCAUUUUAGCAACAGAAGGUGCCACACUCAUAGAAUAAGUCCAAAAACUUGUAUAUAUAGGAUUUAUUAUGCAGCCUAAAAAGCAGAGACAUCACCUUGCCAACAAAGAUCCGUAUAGUUAAAGCCAUGGUUUUCCCAGUAGUGAUGUAUGGAAGUGAGAGCUGGACCAUAAAGGCUGGACCAUAAGGCUGAUCGCCGAAGAAUUGAUGUUUUAGAAUUAUGGUGCUGGAGGAGACUCUUGAGAGUCCCAUGGACUGCAAGAAGAUCAAGCCUAUCCAUUCUGAAGGAAAUCAGCCCUGAGUGCUCACUGGAAGGACAGAUCGUGAAGCUGAGGAUGAAUGAAUUCUUAAGAAGAGAAGACUCCCUGGAAAAGAUCCUGAUGUUGGGAAAGAUGGAGGGCACAAGGAGAAGCGGACGACAGAGGACGAGAUGGUUGGACAGUGUUCUUGAAGCUACCAGUUUGACCAAACUGCGGGAGGCAGUUGAAGACAGGAGUGCCUGGCGUGCUCUGGUCCAUGGGGUCACGAAGAGUCAGACACGACUAAAUGACUGAACAACAACAACAAUUAUCCAGCCUGACUUGCUUCUGGAUUGCAUCCACGGCUACUGGACACAAAGACUAAAUUCUACCUCUACUGCCAUUAUGCUUCUGAAAACCAGUUGCUGGAAAGUGCAGGGGGUGGGGCAGAGUGCUGUCACUCUGAGGCCCUACUUAUGAGCUUCUCACAGGUAUCUGGUUGGCGUCUGUGAGAAUAGAGCACCAGGCUAGGUGAGCCAUUGAUCUGAUCCUGCAGGUCAUACGUCUUCUGUUCUUAUGCUUAUCGUCUCCUCCCAGCCUGAACAUUUUAAGAGAAUUCUAUGAGAGGUUACCAGUUUCAUCGGCGUUGUCCAUUCUGAAGGAAACUUUCCACCAGGGAUGGAGGAGAAACCUGAUCCGAUUUUCAUUUAAUGGCAAACCUUCCUCAGCUGAACUUUCCAAAAACACAGACAUCCUUCAAAACGGGCACUUCUCCAAAUUUUGCAAUGCUGUUCUCCAACCACUGGGAUAAAAAUGUGCUUUAAAAAUGCAUAUAUGAGUGAAACGCACACAUACAAAUUAUUUAUAUGGGGGGGGAAUGGCUUAGCAAAAAAUGUGCAAAUUGGGAGAAACGAGCACCUAAAUGCAGAUGAAUUUUCACGAGGACUCAAAAGAAAAAUCGCAAACCGGUGUGGAAAUGCUGAGAACUAAACUCAAGGGUGGAAAAAUGAGAAACUGAGAGAAACCAAAAUUGACUGCUGGACCCACCUCUACUUUCCAUACAAAGGUUGCCUUGAACUUUCCAGUGCUUGGGGAAAGACCAACGCAAGAGUCAUAAAAACUCUUAAAUUCUAAAGAAAACUGCAGAUAAAACAGAAGAGGGCUGUUUUCCCUUGUCCAGAUGAAAAAUGACAGUAACUCUGAUAAUGAAGUAGCUCUUGAGCUGCAUCUCAUCUAUCUUGCCAACAUUCUGCUUUCUUUGUGCUGACCCGCCUCUGAUGCAAUACCACAUAAUGGAAAGUCUGGAUGUGCAGAGAGGUAAAGGAUGUUCUUGGGUACUUUCUCUCUUUCUUUCUUUCUUCUUACUUUAUUUGUUUUCUUUCCAACCAGUUGCCCAAAUGGAAAUACCCACCAACUUCGGUAUUUGCUAUCAAAAUAAAAUCAAUAUUUAAGAACAGCCAAUUACAUUAUUAUUAUGAUUAUUUAUUGGUUUUAUAUACCGCCCUAUACCCAGAGGUCUCAGAGCAGUUCACAGAAUAAAAUCAAAAUAUAAAACCACAAAAUACACAAUCAAAAUAAAAACAAGAACUCAAUAAACCCCCUCCCCCACAAAAAACCCACAUUUUAAAAGAGCAUAAGAUGUCAAUGAAAUCAACCAAAGGCCUUGUUAAAAAGGAAUGUUUUUGCCUGGCGCCUAAAGGUGUAUAAUGAAGGCGCCAGGCGAACUUCCCUGGAGACAGCAUUCCACAGACAGGGAGCCACUGUAGAGAAGGCCCGCUCUCAUGUUGCCACCCUCUCGAGGAGGAGGCACAUGAAGGAGGGCCUCAGAAGAUGAUCUCAGGGUCCGGGUAGGUUCAUAUGAAAAGAGGUGGUCCUUGAGGUAUAGUGGUCCUGAGCCAUUUAAGGCUUUUUGGUCAAAACCAGCACUUUGAAUUGGGCCUGGAAACUAAUUAGUAGCCAGUGCAGUCAGACCAGGAUCGGUGUAAUAUGCUCAAACUGUCUUGCUCCGGUGAGCAACCUGGCCAUUGAAUUCUGCACUAGCUGAAGUUUCUGAACCGUCUUCAGAGCACUAACAGUGCCUCAGUUUUAUCUGGAUUGGGUUUCAGUUUGUCAGCUCUCAUCCAGUCCAUUACCAAGGCAAGACACUGUUCCAGCACUUCCACUGCCUCACCUGCAGGUGUAAAGGAGAAAUAGAGCUGAGUGUCAUCAGCAUACUGUUGACAACGUACUCUAAACCUCUGGAUAACCCCACCCAGCGGUUUUGUGUAGAUGUUAAACAACAUAGGGGAUAGGACUGAGCCCUGUGGGGCCACACUGAAGGUUCUGUGGGGCUGAAAAGCAUUCCCCAAACAACACCCUCUGGGAAUGACCAUCCAAGUAGGACUGGAACCACCACAAAGCAAUGCCACCCACCCCUAGUUUGGACAGUCGCUCCAGAAGGAUACCAUGGUCAAUUGUAUCAAAAGCCACUGAGAGGUCAAGAAGAAUUAACAGGGACAUGUUUCCUGUAUCUCUCUCUCAACAGAAGUCAUCAUACAAGGCGACCAAAGCAGUUUCUGUGCCAAAACCGGGCCUAAACCCCGACUGAAAUGGAUCCAGAAAAUCGGUUUCUUCCAAAAGUGCCUAGAUCUGGUCUAUGUCCACUCACUCCAGAACCUUACUCAGGAAAGGGAGAUUAGCAACUGGCUCUGGUAGUUAGUUAGGUUUUCCGAAUCCAGGGAAGGUUUAUUAAGGAGUGGUUUUACCACUGCCUCCUUCAAACAGACAGGUAAUAUCUCAUAUAACUAGCAGCAGGCCGAGAGAGGAUCAAAUACUUAAGUCACUAAGACUGCAGGAUUUGCGGAUGGCAUAGCUGGAAUCAUCAGAGCCACAUAGGAAUCUGCUUACUCUGUCAAUUCAUUUCAUGAGAAUUUAUAUAUACAGUAUAUUUAUAUAAAGCCUUGCUGGAUGGGACCAAAGGCUUAUCUCGUCCAGCACCCUGUUAUCACAGUGAACAAUCAGAUUCCCACGCAAAAUUCUUCUAAUAUACAUUUUUGCAAAGCGAUUUUCCCUAAUGUAAUGGAUUCAUUUAUCUUUUCCCAUUCAUAUGUGCCUUUCCAGUUGAGUCCCAAAAAUGUCCCCAUUUAAAGUUCUUUCCAAGCUACCUCACUUCUCUAGCAUAGAGAUAGACCACAUGUUUGGCAAGUCAAAAAAAUUGUUUACUUACUAAACUCUUCAAAAGUCAGAUUAAUGUGUCUUUAAUUACAGCAGUCAGAAAACCUGCACAGGCAGUCAAAAUGCUGCUUAGUUACAAAAGGUAAUAGUUUCUAAACGAUGGGUAUGGAGAAAGGCUAGUUUCAGAUUCCACUCUGAUGUGAAACAAAAGAGGCUAGUUAAAGCAAUAUGCUGGAGCAACGGACUCAGAGAUACCAAAAUCCACAUGGAGAGAGAGCGAUAACAAAGGCUUGGUGACCCAUUUGCUCUCAAGGUGGGAAGUGAUGUAGGAUAAGCCUGGCAGGACAGUGUACUCUAUGGUUUAACUCCUUCGUGCACUAACUAGAUUCAAACAUGCUAGAGUUAUACGAGGCUAGAAACCUACAUGCAGAAGAUCCCAGGUCUCUCCAAGGAGGGCUGGUGGGACCCCCUGCCUGAAACUUUAGAGAGCUGUUGCCAGUCAGUGUAGACAAUACUACACUAGAUGGACAGAUGGUCCAACUUGGUAUAUGGGGACUUCCUGUAUACUUUACUCCAGUCUCCUUGUAAACGUUUCCUAUCUGAGUUUCAAACAAAAGCAAAACAAAAAAAUUGGAAUAGAAAAUAAUAGCCCAGUUGCCCUAGAAAUCUGAGAUAAUAAUAAUAAUAAUAAUUUAUUAUUUAUACCCCGCCCAUCUGGCUGAGUUUCCUCAGCCACUCUGGGCGGCUUCCAAACAAGUGUUAAAAACAAUACAGCAUUAAAUAUUAAAAACUUCCCUGAAGAAUACAGCCUUCAGAUGUCUUUUAAAGAGAAGGUAGCUGCUUAUUUCCUUCACAUCUGAAGGGAGGGCGUUCCACAGGGCGGGUGCCACUACCCAGAAGGCCCUCUGUCUGGUUCCCUGUAACCUCACUUCUCGCAAUGAGGGAACUGCCAGAAGGGCCUCGGCGCUGGAUCUCAGUGUCUGGGCAGAACGAUGGAGGUGGAGACGCUCCUUCAGGUAUACAGGACCAAGGCCAUUUAGGGCUUUAAAGGUCAACACCAACACUUUGAAUUGUGCUCGGAAACAUACUGGGAGCCAAUGCAGAUCUCUCAGGACCGGUGUUAUGUGGUCCCGGUGACCACUCCCAGUCACCAAUCUAGCUGCCGCAUUCUGGAUUAAUUGCAGUUUCCGGGUCACCUUCAAAGGUAGCCCCACGUAGAGCGCAUUGCAGUAGUCCAAGUGGGAGAUAACCAGAGCAUGCACCACUCUGGCAAGACAGUCCGCGGGCAGGUAGGGUCUCAGCCUGUGUAUCAGAUGGAGCUGGUAGAGAAGCAACUUUGACCAGUUCCUGCAAUAACACACCUUCCUACCUCUAGAUUUGAGCUUGCCACUUUCACCGCCUUUAAAUGUCAUUAAAACCACAUAAUGCUGCAGUUCUGCGUAUGGAAUAGCUUCCAUAGGAUUGAUUUUAUUAUAUUUUCAUACAGGGGAAAAUAACAACAGUAAAGCUGGAAAGAAAAUGAACAAGCAGACUCAGCCUAAGGCCUGACUGUGCCUGGAACAAAGAACCGACAGCAGGCGAGGAGCAGAAGCAGAGAAACAGCAACUGCAAAGAGAAAAGGAAGGAUUCCUUCACUAGCAGCAACCUAAGAAUGCAAUCACUUCUUGGCUAACUGCUACCCCCUACCUGGUACUGCAGAAACCUGCACUCGGAUAUGAUUUCUAGGAAGUAGAGCCAGGCAGGAUGUAUUACAUUUUGGGUCCAGGCAGGAUUCAAACCAGACUGCCAUGGACAUCAGUGAGGAAGGAGGGCAACUCCGCCAAGCCUGUUAUGAUUCUAACAGCUAUCAAGGCAGCUGUCUGGGGGAAGAUCCACCUGGCAGGAGUUGGCCUCCUAGCCUGAGUGUUAUUGUCAUCACCUCUGCUGGAUCUGGUCUGGGUUGGUUGGGUGGGUGCUUGCAAGCAAUUGGGGUCCAUUCUCGCAUUAAGGGUGUUUGAGAAUAG